GGUGACAAAAGCGAAACUCUGUCUUAAAUAAAUAAACAAAUAAAAACCUUGUUGAAGAUACAAAUAAAAAUCUUGUUGAAGAAACAAGUAUCCCAAAACCAAUUACUUUGGCCUGGCAGUAAGACACUUUGAUUGGUCCAUCUUGGGAUAGGUACCUACCCCUCAACCAAUCCCAGACCCAAAAGAGAAAGUCAUGUACAAAGAAGGUUGCUCCCAUUUGGAGCCCAAGGAUAAAAUGGGAAGUGAAGUAAAUAUCGAGAAGGAAGGGAUGUAGGUCCCAAAGGAAGGGAGGAAUGCAGAGAAGCAACACAAUAUGUGCCCGCUGCAUGUGAUCUUAAUUGAAAUGUGUUAGUUCAUUGUUCUUGAGAGUCAAGAUUCUACAUGUUCUUCAGUUUGUAUGUUAGUUUUAAGAAGACAUAGGAAAUGUAAAAGAUUAGGUUGAAAUUAGAUUUGACAUGUUUAUUAAUGAUACAAUGGGUUAAUCAGUGAGUGUUCAAGCUGAUAUAAAGUGAGUUGGAGCUCAGAAGAAACAUUAUAGUGACACUUUAAACAAGUGACAGAGCCAGAUAGACAAGGGUUAAAACUGAUGCUUAGAGGUUAAUGAGGUGGGACAGAAAUGGAGACAACAGAUUGGUGUUGUAUCAGAUGGAGUCCCUCUCUGAGGAGCUAUUAUUUUAGUUAGAGGAACAAAUUACAAACAUGUAAAAAACUAUUUUGGAUACUGAUAAGUUGUUGGAAUAAGACAAAAUAACCAAAUGUGAUAGAGUUACAUGCUGAGACUGAAAGCUGCCUCAAGUAGGAUUGUCAAAGAAAGCCUAAGUCACAGAUGUAUGAGCUGAGACAUGAAUGAUGAAGCCCUAGAGUUCUGUAUUCUAUGCAAAAAUAACGGUGAAGGAAAGUUUGAAAUGUUUUAUGCUUGAAAUGUUUUAACAUCAAUAUUAAGGUCAAUGUGUCUAAAGUUUAGUGGGCAAGUGGAGAAUACUAGGAUAUGUAUUGGGUCAGAGAGGAAGGCAGGGGCCAAAUUAUGCAGUGUCUGACAGGUCAGAGUAAGAAAUCAGAUUUUCAGUCCAAACUGUAAAAUAGUAAGAAAAGAAGACCAAAGGCUUUUGCAUGUUGGUAAUAUUAUUGCUGUCAGUCCUGUCUUUCAGGUAAAAGCCAGAUUGCAGUAGGUUUUGAAGACAACAUGAAAAAGACACCUUAUCAGAAGUUAAGUCAUUACUAAGGGUCUCCUGGCAUAUCUAGCUUCAAAAGCAGACUGCUUCCUUACAAGGGCUUCUAACAGAAAUAAUACAAGCCCUCUUUGGUCAACUCCUGAUGGAUUAUUCAAGUUAUAAAUCAUGUUCUUAUUUACCCAGGAUCCAUUCAUAUCAUGUCCAAGACAAUGCUGCAACCAUGGUGAUGACUGGGAGUAAAUUUUAGGAGGAAGUUAAAGUGUAAACCCUUAUACCAGGGAUUAUUAGGGACUAGUAGGUAAUAUAAUAGAUGUUGUCUUUGUGGUUUUGCCCAGAUACAGAAAUAUUCUUUGAAAACAAUGUUUGACCAACUUCUAUUGACCAACACUAAAAGAUUAGGGCAUAAAAUCAAAUUGCAACUAACUCCAUAAAAGCAUUUUUGCCAAAAUCAUAUGACCCAGACACACUGUUUCCCGAUUAUCUAACUUUAGAUAAAGCUUGUGGAGCCCAGAGAUAUAAAGAGUCACCUUUCCCUUAGACUAACUCACUCAAAUACCAGAUGUUUCAACUGAGCAUUUGGCAAAUAUUAGAAGGCAGUCUAAACUCUGAUUUGUAUCAUCAAUUAAAUAAAUGUCCAUAGGUUUUUUGAUACUGAACAUGCAAGUAGCAAAGUCAAUAUGCUGUUGACAUGAUUUGGCUGUAUCCCCACCCAAAUCUCAUCUUGAAUUGUAACUCCCACAAUUCCCACAUGUCAUGGGAGGAAACUGGUAGGAGGUGAUUGAAUUAUGGGGGUGGGUCUUCCUGUGCUGUUCUCAUGAUAGUGAAUGAGUUUUAGGAGAUCUGACAGUUUUAAAAAUGGGAGUUUCCCUGCACAAGCUCUCUCUUUUCUGUGUGCUGCCAUCCACGUGAGAUGUGACUUGCUCCUUCUCACCUUCUGCCAUGAUUGUGAGGCCUCCACAGCCAUAUGGAACUGUAAGUCCAUUAAACCUCUUUUUUUCUUCCCAGACUCAGGAAUGUCUUUAUCAGCAGUGUGAAAAUGGACUAAUACAGUAAAUUGGUACCAGCAGAGUGGGGUGCUGCUGUAGAUACCCAAAAGUGUGGAAGCAACUUUGGAAGUGGGUAACAGGCAGAAUUUGGAAAAGUUUGGAGGGCUGAGAAGAAGACAGGAAAAUGUAGGAAAGUUUGGAACUCCCUAGAAACUAGUUGAAUUGCUUUGAUCAAAAUGCUGAUAGCGAUAUGGACAAUAAAGUCCAUGCUGAGGUGGUCUCAGAUGGAAAUGAGGAACUUGUUGGGAACCGGAGCAAAGGUGACUCUUGUUAUGUUUUACCAAAGAGAGUGGUGGUAUUUUGCCCCUGCCCUAGAGAUUUGUGGAACUUUGAACUUGACAGAUGAUUUAGGAUAUCUGGUAGAAGACAUUUCUAAGCAGCAAAGCAUUCAAGAGGUGACUUGGGUGCUGUUAAAGGCAUUCAUUUUCAUAAGGGAAGUAGAGCAUAAAAGUUAGGAAAAUUUGCAGCGUGACAAUGCAAUAGAAAAGAAAAUACCAUUUUCUGAGGAGAAAUUCAAGCUGGCUGCAGAAGUAACGAGGAGCAGAAUGUUAAUCCCCAAGACAAUGGGGAAAUGUCUCCAGGACAUGUCAGAGGUCUUCAUGGCAGCCCCUCCCAUCACAGGCCCAGAGGCCUAGGAGGAAAAAGUGGUUUCAUGGGCUGGGACCAGGGUCCUUGUGCUGUGUGCAGCCUAGGGACUUGGUGCCCUGUGUCCCAGCCAUGACAGCUAUGACUAAAAGGGGCCAAGGUACAGCUCAGGAUGUUGCUUCAGAGGGUGGAAGCCCCAAGCAUUGGCAGCUUCCACAUGGUGUUGAGCCUGUGAGUGCACAGAAGUCAGGAAUUGGGAUUUGGGAACCUCUGCCUAGAUUUCAGAAGAUGUGUGGAAAUGCCUGGAUGCCUAGGCAGAAGUUUGCUGCAGGGGUGGGGCCCUCAUGGAGAACCUCUGCUAGGCAGUGUGGAAGGGAAAUGUGGAGUCAGAGACCCCCACAAAGAAUCCCUACUAGGGCAUUGCCUAGUGGAGCUGUGAGAAGAGGGCCACCAUCCUCAAGACCCCAGAAUGGUAGAUCCACUGAUAGCUUGCACCAUAUGCCUGGAAAAGCCGCAGACACUCUAUGCCAGCUCAUGAAAGCAGCUAGGAGGGAGGCUGUACCCUGCAAAGCCACAGGGGCAGAGCUGCCCAAGACCCAUGGGAACCCACUUUUUGCAUCAGUGUGACCCAGAUGCAAGACAUGGAGUCAAAGGAGAUCAUUUUGGAGUUUUAAGAUUUGACUGCCCUGCUGGAUUUCAGACUUGCAUGGGGCCUGUAGCCCCUUUGUUUUGGCCAAUUUCUCCCAUUUGGAAUGGCUGUAUUUACCCAAUGCCUGUACCCCCAUUGUAUCUAGGAAACUAAUUUGCUUUUGAUUUUACAGGCUUAUAAGAUGGAAGGGACUUGCCUUGUCUUAGAUGAGACGUUGGACUGUGGACUCUUGAGGACAGCUCCUGCCCAAACUCUGCUGCUGUGCCAUGUGCCCUAGCCUGGGACAGGAACAACCUGGAGAAAACAGCACCUUUUUUUUGAUUGGUUCUCCCUGCGUGGUGCUUCUUUUUGCAGUUCAGCUGUUUGUAGGAAGUGUCUUUUCUAACUACACAAAGACUCCUGACGGCUAGCUGUGACUCCGCCCAAAGUUGACCUGAGCGAAUCCCUUAAUGAUAUCUUGGAGAUAUGAACACAGUUCUUCCUCCUUCCAGCUGGACAUGAUCAAGGAAGCAUGGUGCCCCAGAUGCCCUUGGUAAUGUCAUAUUUUCACCAUUGUGGGAGCCAGCCUGAGUUGAAGCUGAACUGAAAAAAUCACAGACAAAGUGCUAAACUGCUGCAUACAGCCUCAAGAGUCCACCUACUUGACUCUAUAUGAUAAUAUAAAACAUGUGAUAUGUAUAUGAUAAUAAAAGAUAAAUGUCUUCAUUAUUUGUCAUUUUGAUUUGGGCUUUUCUGUUAUUUGUAGGUAAAACAUCUUAAGAGACAUAAUUAUUUUCUGGCUCUAAAAGCAAUGGCCAUUCACUUAGAAAAUGUAGAAAAGAUAGAAAAGCACAAAAAUUUAAUAAUUAUACCACCCAAAGACUAUAACUGUAAACUUUUAAAUAUGACUUUCUGAUCUUUUUCUAUGUGUAGAUAUAUGUACUUUCAAAACUCAGGACAAUAGUGCACAUAAUACUGAAUAUUCUGUUUUACUCAACUAAUGACAUAUAAUGAAUCCAAGAGAAAUUUUUCUUCUCUAAUUUAAUUUUAAUAUUUGUAUAUUAUUUUCUUUUAUGAUUGUAGUUUAUGUUCCCUAUUAUUGGAUAUUUGGAGGUAUUUUGAUUUUCUCAUAUUAUAAAUAAUGCCAGAAGAAUAUUAUAGUGUAUAUAUUUUACACAUAUUUAGUUGGCUUCUUAGAAUAUGUCUUUACAAGUGGAGUUUGAUCAAAAGAUGUGAAAAUACUAAAAGAUUUGUAUGCAUAUUUACACACUUUUAGCUUGUAUUCAAAAUGAGACUUAACUGGUGUUUAAAAUAAAAAUGCUCUGUUGACAAA